GCAAGUCGUACGUGAAAGUGGACUUCGGUCCGCAAGUAAAGUGGCGCACGGGUGAGUAACACGUGGAUAAUCUACCCGACAAUACGGGAUAACAUUUCGAAAGGAAUGCUAAUACCGAAUAAGCCUACGCCCUCCUCGGAGGAAGUAGGAAAAGGUGGGGACCUUCGGGCCUACCGUUGUCGGAUGAGUCCGCGUCCCAUUAGCUAGUUGGUAGGGUAAUGGCCUACCAAGGCUACGAUGGGUAGCUGGUCUGAGAGGAUGAUC
rnacentral:rRNA from 1 species